CCUACGGGGGGCAGCAGUGAGGAAUAUUGGUCAAUGGGCGCGAGCCUGAACCAGCCAAGUAGCGUGAAGGAUGACUGCCCUACGGGUUGUAAACUUCUUUUAUAAAGGAAUAAAGUGAGGCACGUGUGCCUUUUUGUAUGUACUUUAUGAAUAAGGAUCGGCUAACUCCGUGCCAGCAGCCGCGGUAAUACGGAGGAUCCGAGCGUUAACCGGAUUUAUGGGGUUUAAGGGGGGCGUAGAUGGGUUGUUAAGUCAGUUGUGAAGGUUUGCGGCUCAACCGUAAAAUUGCAAUGGAUACUGGCAGUCUUGAGUACAGAUGAGGGAGGCGAAAUUCGGGGGGUAGCGGUGAAAUGCU
rnacentral:rRNA from 1 species